rnacentral:rRNA from 1 species
GACGAACGCUGGCGGCGUGCUUAACACAUGCAAGUCGAGCGGUAAGGCCCUUUCGGGGGUACACGAGCGGCGAACGGGUGAGUAACACGUGGGUGACCUGCCCUCAGCUCUGGGAUAAGCCUGGGAAACCGGGUCUAAUACCGGAUAUGACUCCAUGACGCAUGUUGUGGGGUGAAAGCCUUGUGCGGCUGAGGAUGGGCCCGCGGCCUAUCAGCUUGUUGGUGGGGUGAUGGCCUACCAAGGCGACGACGGGUAGCCGGCCUGAGAGGGCGACCGGCCACACUGGGACUGAGACACGGCCCAGACUCCUACGGGAGGCAGC